GGGGGUGACAGUUUCGACAAAGAAUGUUUUUGAUUGUACGCGACGCCGAGCGUGUUCGCGGACUCGUAAAAAACGUGAACGACUUGAAAGUGCCAAGAAUAAAAGCACCGGUGGAGUUGCCUCUCCUUAUUUUGGAGAACGUAGCUUUGCUUUCGCUUACGCUUAAGUGAGCGACGCAUCCAGGGGAGUACUCCUGAUAGGCCCUUGCGAUGUGUCAUUUCUUCAGGAUAGGAGCGUACCGCCUGGAUACGCCACCAAAACCAAACAGGUGUAGCGCGUGAAGAUUUCGUUUUUCUUCUACUUCAUGCGUGAAUCAUCAAGAAAAACUACGCACCGUAGAUCCACGAUCAUUACUUCUUUGGACGGGAGUUCAAUCUCCCCACCUCCACCA
rnacentral:tmRNA from 1 species